ensembl:lncRNA
GUUGACCAGAAUGGUCUUGAUCUGUUGACCUUGUGAUCCACCCUCCUCGGCCUCCCAAAGUGCUGGGAUUACAGGCGUGAGCCACCGUGCCCGGCCGGAAUGAACUGUUUUUAAAGCUCGGGGGCUGGAUAACUUGCAUGGUAGGCAAAUUGCCCUGAACAAGGCAAUUUCAGUGUAGCGGUCAGGAGGAACAUGGCCAUGUGGCUACCAAGUUCCGUCUUCUUUUCUGGGGGGUAUUUUUUUUUUUUUUUUUUUUUUUUUUUUUUUUUUUUUUUUUUUUUGAGAUGGAGUCUCACUCUGUUGCCCAGGCUGGAGUGCAGUGGCACGACCUCAGCUCACUGCAACCUCCAUCACAUGAGUUCAAGCCGUUCUCCUGCCUCAGCCUCUCAAGUAGCUGGGAUUACAGGCUUGUGACACCACACCCAGAUAAUUUUUUGUAUUUUUAGUAGAAAUGGAUUUUCACCAUGUUGGCCAGGCUGGUCUUGAACUCCUGACCUCAAGUGAUCCACUCAUCUCGGCCUCCCAAAGUGCUGGGCUUACAGGGUAAGCCACCGUGCCUAGCCCCAGGAUUUCUAAUUCUAAGUUCCAUUAUCCUCCCAUGAUACCACCCUGUCUGUCAAGGACACCCUGUGGUGUCUUACUUGGUAUCAUGCAUGGAGGUGCCAUCACUACCCCAGACAAGGUGACAUGGACCCAUGACAUGGACACAUUGCACCUCUCUCGUCAUCUCACAGACAUAGGAGAGACAGUACUUGAAAUCACACACACCCAGGCCUUCUCUUAAACAGGGUCUUUGAAUUCAUGUGGUGACUUUUUGCUUUACUUACAUUGUUCACUAAAUUUAGAUCACGAAAGAGUGAGUUAUUUCUAUGUUUACAUCUGAAACUAUCACUGUUAACUAACAGCCACACUGGAUCCUUCUCAGCUACAUUCAGAACUUCUGAAAUGGUCCUGUUUUCUAGAUUUUACAGUGUUUCAGCAAGUGCAGCAACCAAUGCUGUUUUGUCUAAAAUGCUGUAUGUGCGAGGUGCUGAUACGUGGAUAGGAAUAAACAGGUAUAUUGAUGGGGCUAAUAUGUUGAAUGGGAUGAUCUACUGUUGACUUCAGACAGUUCAUUGGUAAAAUUGCAGUUGUUUGGGGUUUGGAGUUUGGUCCUAAACUUUGUAUGUAUGGAAACUAAAUGUAGUCAGUUGAUCUAAAGUUGAUCAGGUUUAGGAGAACUAACUGACUCUAGACAGAUGCUCAUAGUAUUGAUUGAUAAAUGAGAAUGACAGUCUCACUCAACAAAUGAUUCUUGCCUAGAUGCUCUGCAAUAGGCUCCAGGCUAGGUAUGAAGGAUCAUGGAGCAGAUGCUGCUGGACCUCCCUACCCCACGCCCUUCCCAUUCAGUCUUCCCACAUCCAGUGCCAGCACCUACAUUCCGCACCCCAUAGGAGCAACCCUCCAGCAGUGCUGAUGGGAGAGGGAGAUGAUUAAUUCUCAGGUUCUGCACUGGCCUCUGAGUUCCCCCAGAGUGCGUAAGCUCCAGUCACCCGUGGUGGGAGCUGGUUUGGGAAUUCGCCUGUUAAUGGUUAUGUUCUCUCCCUUAG